UAUUUAUAACCUUUUAUCAUCUCCUCUCAGUUGCCAAACACAUGUGUAUGAUAUGGGUAUGGUGUGUGAUGCGCUGUACAUUAUGUUAAACAGAAGUUUUUACUUACAUUUCCCCAUUCCCUUGUUAAAUGGAUCCUCCAUUUAAUAAAUAAUUCAAAGUACUUCUCAAGCUGAGACGUUGAGCUUAUUGGUUCAAAUUACAGUUCCAAAUGUUCACAGAUUUAGUCAAUGUGCAUGUUAGUAUCAUGACCUGCAUCAAUAAUUGGCAUCCAAUAAGCACAUUUGUCUUCUAAAACAUUCAAGAAUUUUCUUGAUGUUUUCAACAUAUGUAUAUUUCUUUGUGUACAUGGAGCCAUAUCUGGCUAAACACUACAUAAAUUACAUUACGAGUCGUCAACUUUACACAGCUUGGUGAAAAUGUGACAUUUACUACUAAUCGGUUUUCCCUCAUAUCUGCAACCCAUGCAGUAAUUUCCUUAGACGGCCUUCAACUUUGGCUGUCAUAACCUUGGUGAUUCUCCCCGAGUGUCAUAGUUUCUAACCCCCUGCAUGAUCACUCAUGUCUCCCCAUUUACCACCAGCCCCGUGGCGUGGAUCAGCGAAAGUGAGAAGAACCUAGAUAGCCAUGCGUCACUGUGAAGACAAGAAGGAGUUUGCGGCCAUCUCAUGAAACUCCAAGGAGAGUAAAUCCAUUUGCUGCGGCGCUGCUGCUGAUGAUGCAGGUCAUCCGUACAGACCGGACGGCAGUCCCCCUAGAAGCGAAGAGCAGAGGGGAGUGAAGGGUAAGAAAUGGAGCAUGGGAAAAGGGGGAGCAGAAAGGGUGCAUCCAAGCCCCUCUCACACUGAGCUGGGGGACGGCAAGGAGAAAAAAGCCAUAGUGGCUGAUAAAAGAGCCAUUCAGCUGAGAACACCAAGGACCUAAUUGCCAAAGAAAGUCAUGAGAUUGAGCCAGAUCCCAGAGGAGAGACCAAUUGGGAGAUAGAGGGAUAUCUGUAACCGCUUUAUUAACAUAUAUGCAUGACUUAUGUUUAGGAUAUUAUGGUUCAAUUCAGUUCUGCUUUAUGAGUGGGGAAACAUUUGUGGAAAAGUAAAGGGGUAAGAGACAGGCUGGGAGAAUGUUUUAGGGAUUAGAUAACGCCUGUAGACAAUUCGGUAAAUGGCUGGGAUUUCUGUGUCGCAACAAAGUGUGUUUACAUUUUUAAAUCAAAUCCAGAUGGAAAUGGGAUUUUUAGCCUUCAUUGAUGUUAGCCUCUUUGAGCAGCUUUAACUCUUCACAUUUGACUGCCUCUCAUUCAGCAACUUAGAGAAGGCUUUUCACUGUACUUAAAACAAUGUUUAGAAACCCGUUUUUUUUAAAGGAGAAUUUACCCCCGCCCCACCUCUCUCUCUCUCGGAAUAGAAUGGCAGCCAUAGCUUUUAAGAUGUUAUGGUAUCGUCACAGUUCAGUAUAUUCAGUGCACCUGCUAGUCACAUCCAUCCCGUCAGCCCAAUCACUCUCACCUGUCUACCCUACUGCACUCCCCCUUCAGUAUUUAAACCCCAGUCGAACGCUCACUUGCAGCCAGAUCGUUCUUCGCGUCAUGCCAGACUUCCAGGCCUUGCCUCUGCCGCGGAAAACCGCCCUGGCCCUCUGUCCCGCGACCACGAGUAUUGCCUCACCCCCUCUGUUUCCCAUCUGCCGUCUUUAGAAGGUCAACUACGGACUGUGUUUUGUAGGUUAGAGAUUUGUGUAAUGGAGCUCGUCUACACAAUCUACUACCUCGUUCACAUAUUUGCUCGGCCUGGCGCAGUGCGGCGAGGAUGUCUCGGUGCAGUUACCCACAUUUAUCGAGAUAAACACCAGAGUGGACCGUCAUGUCCAGGCAUCACAGAAUUGUCCACGGCCAAAGUUACCGGGGUUCCCGCCAAAGAUUUAGUGCUCAUUGUCACUCAUGCUCUCAAUCUCGACCGGACACUAGUCAACCUAAUGUGUGCAGCGCAGACACCCAGCUGUCGACUUGGCAGAAAAACUACAUUUCUGGCAACUUCCUGUUUUGUACAUGUAAAUCAUGGAUUUAACCUGUUUUUGCAUCAGGCUGUAGUUCAACUCAGUAUUUGCUCCACCAACGAAAGGUUAAAACCACUUUGCCGUGGUGUUAUUGGUUGUGGUUGCAUCAGGGUCGGUUUUGGGUAGAAGAAUUUGAGAAUAUCAUCGGGCCCAAUUGUAUCCGCAUUGGUACAUCCCUGCUAUUAAGCUCACAUUUCCAAGGCAUACUGAAAUUUUCUAUGCUCGUGCUUAACCAAACAAUGUUAGAGCUCAUCUUUCCUGAUGGAGUCUGUGAUUCUGUUAUUUAUCCAUUAUGUCUGCAGCAAAGAAUGGAAAAGGCAGAAAAGCUGUUUAAAGGGCCUUCUCUGUGCGUGUGGAACUAGGGUUAUAAUGCAUAAUGGUUGCUCUAUUUCACACAAGUAGUGCCCUUUAAUGAGAGGCAGAGGGAGCCUGAUAAGUUUGUUUUUGCAAAGCACUAAAACUGCACUAAAACUAGUAAGACUAAUAGACUCUUUAUGAUCUUCAAUUUAGUUUUUUUCAGAGGUAUAGUUACAAUAGAAUAGAAAAUGAAACAAUUUGUUUUCUUGUUUUUUUGGAAUAUUAAGAAUAAAAUGUGUAAAAUGUGUUGGCAAAAAUAGUGCUCACUUUUGAGUAGAUGGAACCAGUACCAGAAAAUGCACUCUAUCAAAGUAAUUCAUCUGCUUUGUGUUAGCUCUGCAGUUGGGGAGUUGUACCACGUCAAGAAUCACCCGGCAAAGACUAUAUUUUUAAAGCAGUGAAGCAUUUGUGCCCUGGACAUAGAAAGCAUCAACAUUAUUACCACGUCACUCACUUUAAUUAUUUAUGGGAUUUGCUCCAUAUGUUAAAUCUGUGAUAGGAGUUACAUAAUGCGAGAAUGCCCUUUGACUACAACAAAGUUUGUUAUCGACGAAGCCCUAUACGUGAAAACCUUAGUCUUGUGUGUUCAUUACACUGCAGCCAUUUGAGGCGAGGCAACAGGAUGGAUGUGCAUUUCCCACCUGCAGCCACUGAUUUGAAAAUUGCUGCCAAACAGCAGUGACAUCAUUACACGGAAUGAUUAAUUGUGGUUACUGUGAUUAAAUCUUUCUAAGCCAACACCAGCCUGCAAAAAAAGAACAAAAAAGAAAACGCACGUUUCAGUUCGCAUUCUACAGGUUGGACGUCGAACUCUCAUCCUUCCACUUUAUAUUCCCGACAAAUAAUCAGAAGUGGAGACGUACUGGAAAAGCACUUUACAAAGUAAACUAUUAUUAAAUGAAACUUAGGCGAAAAUUCAGUCAGAAAGACUGGACAGGCUGUGCCGUUCCCUGGUGGCCUCCUCUCUCCCUGGGGGGGCACGGCCAGCUGAUUAGGGGCGGGGUCGGGUAGUAUCAGACGUGGGUGUCGUUACCGUAAACCAAUCGCAUUGGUGCAGGCAAACGUUAAAAACUGUUCUCUCUUUUUCUGUCAGUUGUCAUUUCAGCACGCUCAAAGGUGAAGCGUAGCGUUCAGUUAGCGGGUCCUACACCACAGUGUUGCCGUCAACUCCGAAGGUCCGAUUGGACGUUGAUCGAUUGUGGUGGAACUAGCUCAACAAACCGAGCCGCCGAGCAGCAGGCGUGGUAGCACGCGCAUACGAGGCAGCAAGUGGUGUAAGCACCAAGCUUCCCUCUGUCCAGGUGUGAGUGGGUGAGGCUCACAGCUGGCAGAGAGCGAGUUGAUUCCUCCCUGCCACCCACACCAGCACAGGGGAGGACGAGAGAAGCGCAAGCAGCCCAUUAUGUUACAUGUAACGUUCAUUCAGCAGAAGCUUGUUUCCUAAGGGACAAUACGCGCAUUCAUCAUAGGGAACAGAACCAGAACCACAAUAAGCAAAAGCACAAAUUAAUGUUUUAUUAAGAGCCUGGCAGCAAACACUCGGCGUGUGGUUAAGAGGUUACCGUUCGCGCUGUGAGGGAGCGACAAGCACACUACGUCUAACCGGGAGAGCGCUGCACCCGGACGUGUUCUCCCCCAGAUACUCUGGGCCAUCGAGGUCGGACACCGCCGUCAUCUCCACGCUGGGAAACGCGCAGAUAUUCCGUCAACAGCAAGCAGCAGCGUAGCCCUCAACACUCAGCAUGGCAAGCGUCACUCCACAGCCACGCAGAUUGAAGCGGCUCGGCGAUUCACAGGCAUCCGCAGUCCCCGAUCGUCCACCGGGCGGGCAUGCAGAUACUAAACGGCUCAGAUGAAGCUCCGCGAGGCUACCUGCCUCCAUGUGAGGCAGCGCGGCGUCGGGAGGCGACGCUCUGGGAGGGUAAAAUAGCAGCUCCACGGUUGAGAACGCAGCUCUGGCAUCAACGAGACCUUAGUUGCGCGGUGUAAUGUAAUGUAUAAAGUUGUUUACUGUGAGAGGUGGCAUGAGUCAACGUUAGACUCCUUCAGGACUGAGUAGCGAUUUCAGCGCGAACUACGGGAGUAAUAGUUUUACUGGAGAGUAGUACGGAAGCGCAAAGCAGAGAAGCGCUUCAGAGGGGGACGUUGACCUACGUAUUAAUGAUACUUCGGGUAGUUUGAACUUGUAAUUUUCCGGGCUAGAAGAAUUCACUGCGGGUGCAUGGGUGAGGAUAAGUGCUGCUCAGGUGCCUUAUUGCUUUUAUAAUACGGUGCCAGCGAAUUUAGCGGCAGCACAAUCGUAUUUCGGUAGCCUUUAGGAAUGGUCCCGUUACUUGCAGGUAACUAAGGCACUGGACAUUGAGGCUCGCCUGCGACAUCUGGUUUACUACGAGCCCGUUCGAGCACGGGAACCAGCAUCGCAGCCACGGGGCUUCACGCAACAACCUCUGUAUGACAAGUCAACCCUCAACAUCCACGCAGAGCAAAGGAGCGCGGCAUCGGCAGUGCCGGGUCUUCCACGGGGUAGGCCUUCCACACAAGCAGCUAACACUUCGACACGAUGCGAAACGGAGCUGUUCACGGGUUGUUUGUUUGGCGAUCGUCCACAGAAUCCUAAGCAAUAACAGCAGGCGCCUGUUGCACGUGCGUGCACCAGAGGUAGUAGCAAUGGUGACGUGUCAUGAAAAAUAAUAAAUAAAUAAAUAAAUGUAGAGAAAGAGAAGAUUAGCCCUCGGCUGCGUCGUUGUGCUAGUGACAGGUUGACAAUCACAAUUGCAGUUGCCAACUGUGCGACUUCUUCCAAAGGCUAAGCUGCUGAGGAAGGUGUGCAGCUUUAAGUUGGUCUGAGAUGCAGCGCAAUGGUGUUGCUUUAGUGUUGCCAUACGCAUCACAUGCUGCUAGGUGGACAUGCCGUCUUAUUUGUCCCAACCUCCUCAACUAAAGCUGGGGACAGGAGCCGUACUGACAGAGUGUUGGAUGGCAGUGGGUUCAAUGGGAUAUUAGCCCCAACAGUACUCAGGGAAUUAUUUUAGGGGCAGCUACUGCAACCACAAACCAAGGUAUCUCCUUUUCAUCCCUGCCACCAAUGGGAAGUUGGGCUGCUGCAACCCCCACAUUCACCAACUUCAAGGAUGAUGAGUUCAGGAAAGCCUUAAAAGGUCAUGCAUUUAUUAAUGUCAUCAUUCACAUAGGUUCUUGUAUAUCGGGAUUUCGUUUGCCCGGUGGCCGUAGUAUCAUUCAUGCAAUGUUUGUUUCAGCCCUAAGUAGUCCGCACCGUUUAUUCAACGGGAUCUUCGCUCGUGGCCCUAAACGUCCUUGCAUGGCAGUGAUAGACUCUUAAAAUAAUCUGGUCUCACCUGACCCGUUUGCAGUUCUGAAGAAGGAGGUCCGUCAGUUGACCUUCCAACCUGGGAUCAAGUUAGGUUUGUGGUCUUAUGUGACCAGUCCAGCUGACUUCACGGAGAUGGUGCGGGCUAACCGGACCAGUCAAGCUAACACCGCGUUUUCUAGCCUAACGCGACCUUUUAGCGGACUCCAGUCAUGCCUCAUGGAUAUGGGGAAGCAAGAGUCGGCAUGUUUCUUAAAACUGGGGUCAUGAACAGAGUGGUGAUCUACUUGGCUACGGCAGCCGCUAUCUGCUUUGCUGCUGGUCUGCAUGUUAACUGCCCUAUCUUCGCAGGUUGAGCACCAGCUGUCGAGUUUGAUGUUAACUUCUUAAGUUCUCUGAAACACGCUAGCUUCACAUCACCGUGUUAGGUUGCUAACUGUCUCUGCAAUUCUGGUCUCCAGACGUCCUAUGGCCGGCCAUGCUGCUCCGGACGUGGCGCGUACUCCAGAGCUCUAAUAGAGGCGGUCCUACACACUCCCAAUAUGGAGGCCCUCGCUGGCGGGUGGCUCGCACUGAUUUCCGCCGUGCUGGUUUUGAAUCUAUACCACAACAUCUCAGGAUCCACCUCCCCAUUAUUCUCAACUUAAGCCUGAUUUAUGCUUCUGCGUUUUCAGAGCGACGCAGACGCAAGCCCCCCUUGCAUGUCCCUUGCGUCAAUUUUCACACCUCCUUGCGUCCUUGCGUGUGUCGAGCUAUUUUUCUAGAAAUGCGUAAAUAUGACCCCUUUUACAAGCCGUCAUUGGCGGGUUGGAUAAGCGGGUUGGAUUCAUGGAGGGAGAUCGCCGCAAACGCCGGUUUGCCGGUCGAGAGGUGCACAUAGUUGUGGAGGAAAAUACGGGACAAAUGUGUCCGCGAUGAAAAGCAGCAGUGGCGAUGCACGGGACAAUAAAGUCUAUGAUAAAUAAAUAAACAAAUAAAUAAAUAGACGUGACUCUCUAGGUCGGCUUCAACAAAACACGUUACUCCGCCUUUUAGAAGCAUGAAUUGAAACGAGUGCAUCGACGCAACGCAGCAGAUGCAAACGCAGAAGCUUGCGCCGGCCUUUAGAAUAACUGCUAGAGCUGCAGCAGCUAACCAAGGCAUUCCUGUGACAAGCCGGCAGCUGAUGGUGAGGGUUGAGGGUGGUGGUCGCCGUCUGCUGUGACGUUUCACUUUCGCUCUGACCAUAACAAGCAAGCAAGCAAAGCAAAGCACUCUCAAGAAAAGAUCUGUGAAGCCGUAAGAGCUGGUAAGCAUGCCUAUAACUGGUGCUGGUGGUGGUGUUUUCCCUUCUGGCAAUGUUGGAAGGGCACUUCAGUGUCCCCUUGCAGGGGACCACCAUUGUUCCUUACAGUCUCCCUUAAAUCUAAUCUUCUAGGUGAACGUGACCUGGCUUAACGUGUCUGUGUUUCCUAGGUUUGACGUUACCUGGCUUAACAUGUCUGUUUCCUGGUCUAACGGGACCACAUCCAUUUCCCAAAAGAUGUCCAGAUGGACCAGUCAAGCUGACAACACUCUGUUUCGCGGUCUCACGGGACCAGUCAAGCUGACUACCUUUCUGCUUCAUGGUCUCACGGGGCCAGUCAAGCUGACUACCGUUCCAUUUCGCGGUCCCGCGACCGGUCACUCUAGUUAAUAGCAAGUGCCCGGUCUGAGCUGACCCGUCAAGUGACGGUGGUCCGUUCAGCAAGGCUAACCUGACCAGUCAGGGACACCCAUGUGAUCAUCUGUUUCCAGGUCUGAGCGAACCCGGUCAAGUUGUUCUGUGAGGGGCCCUCCGCAACUAAGUCUAUUCUGCGGUCUCCCUCUGACCCUGACUGCCCUGUUCUGCGGUCCGCCAUGACCACCCCUAUCUGGUCUGCGGACUUACACAACCACAACCUGUCCUUGUCUGCGGUCAACUUCGACCCCCAACCUAACCUGUCCUUUGGUCUAGCAGACCCUCUCUUUUACUUCGGGAUCUUUUGAAAAACCACCAUGCCUCACUGUGGUCCAGCUAGACCCUCGCUAUGUCCUGCGGCUUCCCUGGCCCCUGUGUCCCUGGCCCCUGUGGUUCAACUAGACCUUCCUCUUUCAUUGUCCUGUUAACCUUUGCCUUGGUUUCUCAGAGUUAUGCAACUUGGGCUCUACCACCACCACCACCACCAGUGUCUGGUGUCUAGUGUCUCCCCCUUUGGGAGACACUAGACACCAGGAUAUGCCUCGUCUCGGCUCGAGGUCUCGGCCCUGGUCUAUCCUGCGGCAGGAUGGAGUCCAAGCCCCAAACAACUUGCAAUAUCAUAUGGCACAGGGCAGCUCCUUUUUAACUUGUAGAUGUAGAACUUAAGAUACAAUUCAAGAUACAAUCUUGAAUUGAUUCUUUUCUGCAUACAUAUUUACAUUAAAGGGGUAUAUAUUGUGAGAUAUAUAUGUAUACAUAUAUAUUUAUAUAUAUAUAAUAAGCAUUCCGUGAUGUCAAUUUGCAUGCCAUACUUGCUUUAUUCUUUAUUUUGGUUUUAUUUAUUAGCUGAUCCGGGUGGGUGUUUGGAUUUCUUGUACCUCUGCAGGAAAUGCAAUGGAUUUGUCAGUAAGCUCGAACACUGAAAAAUGUAUCCACAAAACAGGACAGCGGUCAUUUUCUGCAGUUCCUUGACAGCAGAUCAGUUUGAACUAUUGUUGAGAAUAAUGCAACAAGGAGCAGUCUCAGUGAGUUAGAUGAAAAGCUGUAGGCGACAGGCUGCACACCUUCAACUUCUCAGCGAGGUAAGCAAGUAUACUUUCACUGCUCACUGACUCAUGCCAUGUUCAGCAUGAAAUCAGAUCACGGUUGCUCACAGAAUGAUGUAAAAAGGCAGAUUAUGCCUGACUUUUUUGUUAAGACGAAAGAGUUACUUUUACUUCCCUCUGUGUUAUGGGACCUGUAAUAUUAAAUCCAAUUUACUCUGGUCACCAGUAAGGACAUUUUGAAGGACUGCCCUUUGCCCUUUUGUUGGGUCUGAAUUAAACAAAUUCAUUCUCUGGACACUUUUAGCACAAAUAUGAUGUUUUCACCUAGGCCCUCCUAUACGGUCCAAUUUUGAAUAAAAAUUUAUAAAAUAAAUGCAUUCGUGAACUCAGCAUUGCCAGCGGCGUCUUAAAACCCCCCACAUGCAAUUACAGUGAAGUUCAUACAUGAGAAUGACUUCGUAAAUGCAGGUAGAAUGAAUAUUCCAGCCUCCAGGGGCUACUUUCAUGGGUUUAGGAUCAUGUCUUCAUUAAAUGAAUGCAAACAUCUCCUGUGGCUAUUCUCAUUCUGCUCUGUGCAUGUACACAAAUGGUUAAAAAUGUGUGUUUUAACCAGUUGGAACGAAAGCAUGUUUUUUUCCCGGUUUUCUAUCUUUCUUGGCUAGGAAUGAUUUUAUUUGCUUCCCUAGAGCCUGAACUUAACUAACUUGUCAAUUAAAAUCAGGGUUAUGGCAGCUGACACGUUACACUUUGAUAUUCGUUUACUGCCGUGCCUGAGAGAGUCUUCAUAUUCAAUCACAACCAUGAAAAGCUUAUUAAUUGUACUCUUAUUACGUAUACAGCCUUUUGCCCGUCUUCAUACUUUUUUGAUGCCUCAGUUCAACUGGGCCUUGAAGCCUAAACCUAGAUUUGUUCCAUGGAUGAAGCCUUAUUCGUAUAGUAUUUAUGUCGACUCUUUGAAGUCCUUGACUGCAAAUGCCACUUGAAGAGGAUGAAGCAAUCUCAACCAAGCACUGUCCUACAAUGAAAUCAGAGCUAGGCAUAUGUUUGCUCUUACUGCAUGAAAAUAAAGGGAUAAUACAUGCAUAUUAGACCUGAGUCCUUCAUGUGAUGUACAAUCUGAGAUGCAGGUCUCUGACAAGACUGUAUGUCAUCAAAGUAGAAGGUUGAUUUCUUUACGGGGAUAUUCAUUGGUUCUUAUGAAAUGGAACCAGCAGUGGCUACAAUUUUUAUUCUGAUAAAAAACUGAACAGUAACUCGGAAGCUUGACCAAAAUCUACCAUCAGUUUACAUAGUGAGUUCACUGCCAAGGGUAAACUCUGUCAACUGCACCUACAUUGAAUUAUGCAGGAUGUAGGCAGGGAAUCAUUAUGUGACAUCUGCAGUGCCACCAAGCGCUUGCAAAAUUAUAGCCCGGAGUACCGUGUGAUUGGAACUUAAUGAGCAAAUGUGAGUGACAGUGAGACUUAGCCAGGGGGGCAACAACAGCACGGGUGGUGGUAGGUCAUGAAUCUGGAAUAAUGGAACCGUAAAUGGUCUCCAUCGGUAGUAUUGAUUUUCCUUAGACUCUUAUGUUUUAUUACCAUGACGAUCAUCCACCAACAAUGUAACCAGUCACAGAUUAAGCACUCGUGGGUAUUAUGUAUUUCGUAAAAUGGAGAAGGGUGCAAAGUAUUAAUGCCCUAUUCCUUCCCUUAUUGACUCUUAGUCCAUAGCUCAUGCUAUCUCAUAUGAACUGAACAUGCUUUAUUAAACUGAGCUCAUUUAGUAUGUAGCUGUAGCUUGUAAUAUCGUAUACUGUGAAAGUCCUGUUACAGGUUCUCUGUCAUGACUUUUUAAAGGACAUAAAAAGGGAUAGGUUUGCAGAAAUUACACCUUAGCAGAGCACUUGCACUUCACUCCAGCUCUGUUGUCUUAUCAAGUCCUUCAUUAGCAUGCCGCUGUUCAUAAAUGUAGCUGGCAAUUCACAGGAAGCACCCCCACCCGCUGAGGCCUUCUCCUCCCCGUCCCCAGCUAUUAUGUAAUUCCUCAUGGUUGUGUGAAUCUUCUCCACAGCCUCCUACCUCUGUGCCAGUCUGACUCCCCUCCUGUCUGCCACUCACAUUUAAUCCACGAAAGCUUCCUCUCCCCACAGCUGCUCUUACAUUUUCUUUCAUGCUCAGUCUCUACUUAUAAGCACCAGGAUGGAUGUUAACACUAACAGAGCUGCCAGAUUUUGAUUUUAUCUUUCAUUAUCGAAUUAGCUGUGUGCCAAAUUUGAAGUGAUGUUAACGGGAGGAGAUAUGAUAUUCUCACCAUUACAUUGGGGUUAUGUAUGCAUCAUUACUGAGGUUUGAGUAACUAUAAAAGUGGAUGCCCGCUGUGGCAAGAUUGGGGGUAUGCUCAGCUUCUCAGAUGUGUGUUCCAUUCAUCUCCAUGAAAAACAUCCCAUUGAGAGAUGGGAUGCAGCUUUGCAACUUUGUAUGCCAUUGAAUUAAUCACAAAAAUCUAAAUUUUAUUGCAUUUCCGUUAGUUUAGAUAUAGAUAUUUAUUAUUUUUUGGAAGAACUGGCACAGUACUAAGACCCUGAUGAUGAUGCUGGUCAUUUCAGUCCUAUUUAGACAAGCUGGAUGCAAAGAUUAUUAGUCAAAUAGAAGCUGUGUCAUCACAAGCACUUUGCAAAACUCAAGAUAAGUGUGAUCUGCCCCUGAGGUAUACUAUUGUUAGCCUUCACAUUCAACAUGACAGACAAAUGUCACUGACAUUCUGUGUUGGUUCUCAAGCCAGAUUUUGACUUGGAGUCUGCCUACUAUACCUAAAGUAAUUCCAUUACUUUACUAAAGCUUUGUUCUUUUCUCUGUAAUAUCUCUCACAACAUGAUUAAUCAGAAAUCCACAAAAUGUCAGUUUUCAAAGGUUGUUAUUCAUUAUUUGGAAGUAGACUGAAUGGCUAUCCUAAUGGAAAGGUCCCCUUUUCAUUGACACACAUUCUAUACCAUACCAUCCAAACAAAAGUAUGCUUAAUGAGGAUUGCUUUUGUGUCGUUAGCUAUAUCCAUAUUAUCUUCCUUCAUUAAAUAAUUCUGUUGGAAUGUGUAAUGUUGGUUGGUGGUAAUACACCAGUGAGAAACGUCACCCUUCGGUGUAGCCAAACCGCUCUAAAAUACAACUUUAUGAAUUAAUUUAACAAUUUAUAAUGGAUUUUUAUUAUUGAUGAUUCUGUGGCACGUUAAAAAUGUGGUGUGGUGCCGCAGAUGGUCCCAUGCCAGGGCAAAGGCUGGAAAUCCAAAGAGCUAAUCAGCUGUCUCAGAUAACUUGCUGUGUACACAAAAAUUUAGAGCAUUCUCUGAUCAAAUGCUUUGCACUAAUGAGUCAUUAUUUCCAUUUGCGAAAUUAAAAAUACCGCAAGGUUUACCACGUCGUCCAGCGAAUUAUUAAUGAUGCACAUUAGAGAUGUCCGUUCAGUGCUCUCAAUAAAAAAAAUGAAAUCCCAAAAUAAAACCUAAGACAUCCCAAAAUGAAUUCAGAUCGUUGCUACUGUCAUAAAGCCAGAAGCCGAUGUGCUGUGUGUUUAUGUGUGUUGUGCGUGUGUGUGUUCAUCUUGACCAAGAGGUUUCACUUUCAUUGCCAUUCAUGGUACAUGGUAUUUUACAUGGUAUUUUCCUUCAAAAUCUCAUCCAAAAUUUGUCUCAUCACUGUUAUUUGUUGGAGUUCACUGGCAAGUAUGAUCACUUGUGCACUCAGUUGAGAUAAGCAUCUACGUCACCAAAUGACUGAGGGAUUUCACAGUUUUUAAAUGUAUCCUGUGGAUAAAACAAUGUGAUACCUUACCUAUGUGUUGUUUGGCCACAAAGUAAGAAUGACCAAACGACCAUAUUUACUCCUUAAAUUCAGAUCAGACUGAAUAUGAAUAGAUUUGACCAUAAAAAAAACUAGAGAUGUAUGAGGAAGAAAAACACCUUAAUGUUUAGAUGUUUAGCACCAAACAAAGACAUGGAUUAUGUAGGAAGAUAGGAAGUAUACAAACAAUACAAACAAGACUAAAAUAUAAAGGGAGCCCAAAAAGUAAUCAUUAAAAGGUAAAAUCAUUAAAAAACUGUUUUUGCCCUUAAUGGCUGGUUUACACUUCUGAUGUUAUAUAUUAAAGAAAAAAGAAAACCUGCUCAUUGCCAAGUAUUCAACAAUUCUAUUGGUUGACUUGGGAGUGUUUAAAGCAGAUGUUUAGUUUUUAUGUGAUGGCUCAGGGGUGUGAGCACUGAAGGUCUUUCAUUCAGUCAAUGUGUAAGGAAUCUACAAAUCGACUUCAUUCAAGAUAAAAACAAAACCCUUUAAAAUGGCCUAUUGAUCCCUCUCUCCCUCCCCCUACUCCCACUCUUUCUUUCUGUGUGUGUGUGUGUGUGUGUGUGUGUGUGUGUGUGUGUGUGUGUGUGUGUGUGUGUGUGUGUGUAAAAUGCAUGUGUUCGGGUACCGCAACAAGGUCUGACUUACUGUCCUUGGUUGCGGAGUCACUCACACUCAUCCACACACAUGCAAACAUGCUCAUGUACGGGUCCUGGAAGUGGGCUUUGAACGCAGUGGGCUGUGAGAAUGGGUAAUGGAGGACAAUAUGUGUCCUGGGAUCGUGGCGGAUGGAUCCUCCAUUGCGAGGGCGAUGAGACCUGAAGGACGACAGGGAGAUGGAGGCAUUGAGGGAGAAAGCAGCCGCAGCCCAACGCUCUGUUAGGCGCCUAAUGGAGAGACCGCAAGGAAGCGGCAAGCACCAUAGGGCCCAAUGCUACCAGAGGAACGCUCGGAGAACACAAACAGGGAGGAAUCGUCGAGCUGCAAAGGCUGAUGUAGGAGCGGGACAUUUGUAAUUGGCAGAAUCAUUUGGUUAUAGUAGAAUCAUUCUUUGAAGGCGCAUUCAUGUGUUUCCCAGUGGCACGAGACAACCAUAAAGCACCUGCAGGAGAGUGAUGUGUUGAUCAAUGCCAAGGAGAUAACGAUUACUUCUGCAGAUGUAAGUAGCUGAUUAAAGGUUGGGUUACUUGGAGAGAAGGCUGGAUUUUUCUGGCUGAAGAGGUAGUGGCCUGUAGUGAUAUCAAUAUAUGGACAUUAGCUUGGACCUGGGUCGUUCUAGACAAAUAACCUUAAAUAAGUUACAAAAAGAAAUACAGAUAACAAACUAUAUAAAACCAUGUAAUUAUGACGAUAUUGCACAAAUUAAGAAUGAUUUGUGAAGCUGCCCUUUCAAAUGAACACCUUGCAGGGCUUUUAAACAGACACUAUCAAUCCUGUUGGUGUAUCAGGUCGCAAUUAAAAGCGAAUUAGCAUUUUGGUUUUAUACAAGUGCUACAUCCUGCUUCCUCAUUUGUUUGUCAGGUCACUGCUUUCUUCUUGGCUGUGAGAUCCCUGAUUUACAAGAAUUAUAGCCUCACCCAGAUGCUACUGUUCAAGCACCAAUAUCACUAAGUAGUUGCACAGUGUGUGUUAAAAGAUCCAAACAGCACCUUUUGCCUUUUGGAAACACCGUAAUUAAACAACGUAAAAAAAAUGGGGUGGAUUUACGGGUUGUUUUUUGAUCAGUGGAAAUUUUGCCGUGCAAUAACAUUCAUGGCAUUUUUACAAAUGUGUCUUCUAACACGGAAAAAGGACUACACUGUAUUCAUCCUCCAGAACUGCGUAUUUAAGAAGAGGAUCUUUGAGUUUGGGACAAAUACAGAUGUUGGGACCCAUUUUUUCAUUUUCUGCAAUUUGAGACAAAGACUGUAUUUCCAGUUCCAGCACACAAUUUAGUCUACCUUGGGCUGCUGAUAUCACAUUUAAUUGGAUCAAAGUCUUCAUAUCGCAACAAGACAAUUUUUCUUCCUCAUGGUGGAGCUAUUUUAAUGAGCUCUUUUUCAAGAAUCCUCACCUUGCUAGCAACUAAUCUAUGUACAUCAUUGCUGUUUUCUCCACAAAGAGGAGUCAUGGGAAAACGCUUUAUACAAACAAGAUUGCAUUGUUUUACAAAAUGUUGAGCAUCAUUCAUUGUGCUUCCAGAAUAAAAACAUGCACACACAGUACUUCUUGCAACAACAAUUCCUUCUCUGCUGUGUUCAUUCAAGUUCAUCAUUCUUCUGAAAGCUCAUAAAAAGCUUUAGGAAGAAAAGGUGUGCACCGUCACACAUAAUUGAAAUUCUUCCACCACCUUCUCCUUAGAAAGUUGCCGGGGAAUAAUUUAAAUGAAUAAUUGAGAUAAAGUUACUACACUCCAGUGACAGUAUUAGAGCUUGGUCGUUACAUAAAGGGUUAUGAGUAGGUUGUUCAAGUGUGACCAGCACAGUAAAGUACCUUUCUGUACAUUUCAUCCAUAAUUACGAGGUGAGGAUGAGUACAGACUGCAUAUGUGGAUGGUAAUACAGCAAGUCCUUGCAUUCUACUGACUUAAGCAGAUGCAUUUAAAGUGUCUAUCAACGCACAACAUGUUCAAAACUGUGAUAGUCACUGACACACCAAUUAAGUCAACGUGCUUGGAACAGGCCUGAGCAGCCUGCCAUGUCUUCUUCUGUUUCAAAAUUAAUUUGUCAUGUAAAAUGUAUCAUGACUACAACUGAUGAAAAAAAGCAUUUCUCCCAAUUAAAGAUACCUUCAUCAGUAGGAACACACAAGGGGAGAAAACGGUGCCUUCAGGAGUCGUUCGAGAGUCUUGAAUUUAACGGAAAUUCCUGUUUUGUGUUUUCAGCUCAUUAGGAACAGGAGUGGAUGCUUCAUCAUUAAGGCAAACCAAAUCUUCAUAUACAUUUAGAUUUAUACCUCAUAGUCAUUCAUUUAAAUGGGUAUAAAAGAGUAAAAAUACUUUCAUAUGAAGGGUAGCAGCAAUUUUGUGCAGGUAGAAAUGCACUGUGCAAGCUAGUGCCUUUAAAAUCUGCAUGAAAGGAUUAUGAAUAGAUAUCCACACUUAAUUAAUGUCUGUCUCCUAUAUCAUUGGCCCUUCUUCUGUUUCUACCUAGUGAGCACAUGUAUUUACAAAUAGGAACGGCUUCUUUGAAAAGACACCGAGGGGGAACUAGGUUAGAGAGCUGCAGCCCCAGAAGGACUGCACUGCACUCCACUCAAUAAGAAAAGCCCUAAACGGAUUUCUGUGAAGGAACUGCUCAGGGAGAACUGAACAGAUUGAUGGAUACACGUUCUGCAUGCUAUUGCUGGUGGAACAGCAACACCAAAAGCUUCUCAUCGACAAUUACAGCUCAGAGAGCAGAGAGGGAGAUAAGGCCAGGGGAGACGGUGCAUUUCAGGAAGAUAUUAGGUUUGAGCAGGGGAAAAAUAUAUCCGCACCGUCUUAUUCAGUCUGUUUCUAGCACAGUGUGUCGAGAAUCCUUGGCGGUAUUACACAAGUGUGUGCAAUUCCAAUCCUCUCAUUGUAUUUCUUCUGAUUCAAUCCAUUUCAAGGUCACUCGUAUGCACCUGUAAUUGAUUAUUGCGCGCCAGCAGAACCAGAUUGAUAAGCUUCUUUCACCAUCUUAACACUGAGCCUCUUUGACAAAGACUAGAUUCAUCUCCUGUUGAAUGGUGACAAAGGAGGAGUGGCCCAUUAAAAGGCGGGAGCCAUGUGAUGACGGAUUUCUACAGUGCUCUACAGAUACAGAUGAUGCAAAACACUGAUCGAUUGGACGGACAUUUUGGCCCUUAAGAUGGAAAUGUAAUGGAUUGGAUGCCUUCGGGGUUGUUAGGUGAAAAGCGGCAUGUUGGAUCACAAACUGAAACAGAUGUUGUACUAUUCUUCAGGUGUAUACAAGGCCAAAGAAAGAAAAAAAAGGUACCUAACAACUCUGCUAAACUGUGGAAUACAACAGUGCGGGACGCAGUCACUGUAGGAGAAUAAGCCGUGAUACAGGCCGAGUCACGACAGGGACAUGAGGCUUCAACAACACUUCACAGGUAUCCAAUGGCAACACAUUACAUCAGUUUCUGAGGGGCUUUAAUAAAAAAUAUCUCUCACUUCUCCCCUCCACCACUACAGUCUCUCACGCAGCAGGAAGGGUGUGGUUUGGCACAACUUUCAAAGUCUCACUUGGACAUGCGGCAAAGGGGAGGGUUGUAGGUGUUGAUUAGACGUCAGGUUCACUUUGGGCGAUAAGUUGUUGUGUGAACUGGCCAUUCUUGAUUUUCAAGGGUACAGGAUGGAUUUGUAGGGCUGCCAAAGGUUCACCUUCAUGCUUCUGUUCACACUGAAAACAACCAACAGAAGAGUGAUACUGUAGUUUCUAUGUUGGCUUUUUAAACAUAAAAACAACCGUGUCAUAUUGUCUCAUACUAAUGGAGCAAGUCUUUGGUUAAGGAGGUAAAAUCAAGCAAAUACGUCAACUUUGAUCCCAAAAGGAAAUACUUAUAUUACAGAAAGAAUUGAGAUAAAGUUAAGAUACGUACACAGACUGAUAUAUAAUCAUCUGUAAAUACUGGGUCACAUGGAAUUUACAAAAAUAAUACAAUUUUUUAGGAUUUGCUUUUAUUGUUCUAAAUAUUCACUUUGCUCUGGGCAAUAUUACCUGGCGAGGACCACAGAAAAGCACUUGUUUGUCAACCUUCACUUUCCACAAUGUACUGUGGGAUUUGAGCAUAGCUCAUUUAAUGUGUUAGAACAAGCCUCAAACUUGUUUGUGCAUGUGUAUGGAGGAUAGUCUAUUAUUCAUUCAAAUUACAGUUAUUUUUCAUAUUCUGGCAAUUCUUUCACUCUAGAGGAGAGAGGCCAUGUGAUAGCAGCGCUCCUUUGCUUAUCAACAUGAUGUUCUACAGAGCUGACAAAGCUCAAGGCCAGGAGUGGUGAAUGAAUUUAUCUAUGUAUGUGUUGCUGUGUGUCUGUGUAUGCACAGUUUUUCUUUUUAACAAACAGUGUGCAUAAUUAAAUUAAGAAUUACAGUCCUGCAACUGAAAAACAUCCCCUAAAUGGUAUAAAAUAUCAGUCACUGUAGCAUUCAUCAUGCUGUUGACCCAAAGAAAUUUAACGCCAAUAUAAAGGGCCGUGUUUUUCACAAAGCAGCGCAUUGCGUAGGGCAACUCUAAUUGCUAAUUUCUGACUGAUUCAGUGUAAUUUCCAUGCACAGCUCUCAAGUUGUGUAAGAAUCAAAUGCACCCAUCUGUUUUCCCAUCUGUGCGCCCAUGGGUGUGUUGGUCUAAAGUGAGGUGUGGUUGGGCCCAUUGUCAAUGCUUCACUUUGCUCAGGCAGUAGAUGGUGAUAGUCUGUUUCAAAAUCCAUGGCGCCGUAUUUUCCUGCUAUUUCAAGGCCACAUUUUUCAGAUAGUAAGAUGCACCCACAUCAUUUUGUUGAGAAAAACUCAUCAACUGAGUGUAUGUUGAUGAGCGUUGUUUUCACGCCUUGUAUGGACGGUGCUUACAUACCUCUGCACUCAUCCAGAUGUUUCAAAUAACUCCAGAGCAUGUUGGAUUCUCCAAUUCCACAUUUAGUACUGAGGUGCCAGGUGCAGGCCAAAGGGAAUGGGAGAUGACACUGAUUAGUUGAAUUCACGGUACACCCAAAGAACCUAUGAUUAAUUAGGAGACAUAAUACAAUCCCUCUUACCUGACCCGCCAGAUGUUCGUUCCACAGAUCAUUCUGAAAGCCACAGUUGGAAAUUGCUUGAGAGGCAAGCACUUUCAAAAGAGCUUUCAUACCCUUGCCAGCAUGUCUGGAGAAGAGCGAAAACACCUGGUUCAUCCUAAAAAUCCUUCACUGCCAUUUUUACUGAGUAACUCUCAAGUUGUCAUACAAGUGUUGCUCUUGCUCUCUUCUCAAGCCACCCAUGUUGAUUUGAACGUCCUCCUUUGCCCUUUGAAACCUACUGUGCGGCCAGAUUAUGCACCGUUUAAGUAGCAAAGACACGCCUUAAAUGCACAUUUUUGCACGUUCCAUAAAUAGUUUUUAAAAAGUUUGUCGUCCUGUUGCGCUGGUAAAUUAGUCCUGGCUGAAUUUUACUUCCAGACCAGUUCCAUUUCUGGAAGCAGCCACAGUAUUAGUCCUAAGUCCCGCAUUGCAACCGGUUUAGGAAAAAUGUAGGUCAUCACAGCAAAACCAACCUUCAGGCCCCCCUCCAGCUCAAAUCCGACAUCUUUGUGGUAAGAGAAGUAUUGGGCUUCACACUAAUCCUUCCGGUCAUACUGAGUUUCAAAUUUCAUCUCGGUUUUCUCAUUAUAGGUUUUGGAGAUACUGAGACCCCAUAGUGGUCAUGAUAGUUCAGCUAAUCUGAUGGGGUUUCGUUGCAAGAAAUGUCAAAACCAAUGCUCCUGGAUCCAUGGGUUAGCGAUAUUUUGGACACAGGUUGUGAAAACUCUAGAGGCAAGACAGAGGGCCAAGAAUGGUGACUCCAACCCAAGCUAGAUUGUUUGGAUAGCCAAGAAACGAUUCAUUCUAUGGUCGUUUGGCGAAAAUAUAUACUUAUUAGAUGAAGAAAUGAAUAGUAUGUGAGGAAGCGAACAAAAAUGUUGCUGCUUUGGUUUACCCUAUAAAGGAAAGACUUACUGAUUGCAAAGGCGGGAUAGAAACUCACGCAGCAAAUGUAACCUGUGUUCCUGCUUGUGUUCUUGGUACAGAAAAGUUCUUCAGAAAUGACAAAAAAAUAGCAAGGAAAUAUACACACUUUUACUGUUGAGAUGAGAUGCGCUACUGUUUACUGUGCAUCUGAUGUGCAAAAGGAUAGCCCUGAAAGACGUGUGUUUGGAACAGGUAGACUAAAGUAACCAGUCAAAGAGCUAUGCUGGGAAGUGUACUGAACUAUUUAUUUUGAGAGCAAUCUGCUCCACAAUUUCGGUCUACCGAGAAAAAGGAGGGCUUUCCCUGGCGGCAGCAGGCUUAAUCAGCAUUGUGUGAAAUCGUUUGGCCGGGGCUUGAAUGUGACUGACAUUCAUUUAUAUGCAAAAGACCCGUACUCUAGCUUUAACAUUUGUCCAGGCAUCACCUGAGGUGAUUUACCACACAGGAGCACACACACACUUGUAAAAGCUUAGCCACAUUCGUGCACAUGCCCACGCAUGUGGAUGUAUAUACACACAGCGGUGGGAAAAUGUCCUUGGUAGGCUGGUUUGAAGCUCUUGUUGCGCAGCUGUUAUUAUUCAAACGUCAUGUAGCAGUUGCUCAAUUUCAUUUGUUUUUGGAAACACUACACGUCUCUAAAGUGCUUUCUUUGUAUCCUCAUUUGUUUUCAUAUGCUCUUGGACUCUCAGGUUGUUGGCUCUAUGAAUGGGUUCUUUUUUCUCUUUCCCUGUUCCGAGCUGUUCAAGGCUAAUCUCCAGCGGGGUUCUGACCCAUUUAGAAUGUCUUCAUGUGAGGCAAAUUUAAGUGGAGACAUCCCUAGGAUUUUUGAGCUGAGGCUGACAAGGCCAAAUGUCACAAUGACAAGUAAAUACAUCUAGGUUUUCAGCAGGGACGGAUUUACGUUGUGUCGCAGGCUGUAAGAAGCAGAAAGUUGUGUAUCACAGUUGGCAAUUUGGCACUGUGCUACUGGGUACUAGACCUUGCCGUGGACUUGUGUGGGCAGAUGUGCUGCUCUGAUUUGGCUGUAGGCUCACAGUGGGAAAGCAGUCGGCAGGGUGUAGAUUGAACAUGGAAAGAUUUCUGUGUAUAUCGUGCAGAUACUUUAGAGGAACAUUUCAAAUUUGAGAGCUCUGUGAAAUAAUCACAAAUUCGGGGAAACCGUGGUUAGCUCAACUUGCUUUGGAAUUAAUUAGACUGUGUAUUAUUUUUAUUACAGCAUUUUAAGAUUCAACGUUUCGCUUGGCUGAAAAAUGACUUAAAAUUAGUGUCGACAAAAAAACAUUUCUAAAAUGUAUAAUUGAUUGUUCAUUGACAGUAUGUUACACUCCUUUCACCAUAUGAUUUUAAUAACUGAUAAAAAAUCUUAGUGUUUGUUAUAGAUGAGUGGAUGUUAUAGAUCAAUCAAACAAAUCAUGAAUUAUGAAUCAUUUCAGAAAAAAAUCACCUCUUGCAAUAAAACACGAAAUAUUCCUUUGAAAGUGAGCAGAUGCACUCAUAUAACUGCUCGGUACUGUCCUCUCAAUUAAAUUCAUACGUGUCUAAGUCCUCAUACAAAAAGCUUGACCUGUUCCUGGUGUGCUGCGUGAAGUCAAUCUCAUCCAAGCCGACUUAUUUCGAAGAGGGUGGCUGGCUGAUUAAAGGUGGCUUUUAAGACAAUCCUAUGAUGACAUUCACCUGUAUCGAAGGCUUAUAUUGUGUUUAUAAACUACCUGACUGACAGCUGGUCUUUCUCAAUGGAAAACAUGCACACAGGCUCACACACUUCCAGGUUCUUGGUUUAGACCCGCACCAUGGGCACACAUUGAACUGCAAUCCAUGGUUACAAGCCUGGCACGCUUUAGUGCACAGCUAUGGAUUAGCGGUUAGCCCAGCAGUAGCCCUUGAUUAUGCACUGUUUGGUGACAACCUGAGCACGACUCCAUUAUAAUUGACCUUGUGUUAAACCAUGCAGGCUCACACUUUCACAUAAUGGUGCCUUGAAUAAACCUUUAGCCUCUUUACCUGAUGCAUGGCCAAGUCACAUGGCAUUUUACUUUCACCGGACUUACAUACUAGACAGAGACAAACCUCCUGCGUCCCAGAGAUUUAAUUCAGUACAUUCUCUUUGUGUCUCCCUAAUGGUUAUUAUCUCACCAUGUUCACUGGUGAUUCAGCAUGAGUUCCAUUAUUAUCAUGGUAGAAAGCUGUGACAUUAGUUCAUGGCCUCUCAUCUCUUGUUAGUUCCCAGGCUAAGGUACUAUAUUUAAUUAGCAGCAAAACCGUUUUUUUUAAACCCCAACCCAUAAUUUGCAGGCAGUUGCCUGGAACUACUUCAUGCCAUCUUGCAAAAAAAGAAAAGAAGCUGUCUUUCCACCUACUUUCAUUUUAGCGUCGCCGCUGUGUGUACCGGUUGUUCUACUAGCUGUUAGCCAAACACCAUCCUAAACACUAAAAGGGAGCAUACUCAUCUGUGUAAACAGCAGUGAGUCAGGAGGCAGCAGGCCGUCAAUGGAAGUAUCAAAAAUCCAAUAAAAGGUGUGAGAAAGUGUGAGUCACUGCAACCAUGGUUGUUCUUGAAGAUGCAGCCCUAACCCGGCACCUGGUUUGGCAGUUCGCUGCAACAGAAUGCAGGACUGGCCGAAGAGGUGUAACAUAAUCAAAUCACAUAAUCAAUGUGAUAAAGAAAAAUUAGGUUUAGUUAAGUGGGUUGAGAUUCAUUUCGAGGCGGUUAAAAUUAUUUUUCCGAGUUGGUCUGCAUUGUUGGUCGCAGCAGUGCGUCUCACACACACGUGUUUGUCUGUGUCUUAGCAGACACACUUGUCUCUUCAAAUAAGGUUACUGAAAAAUAUUUAAUAAUACCAUAAUAGAUAAUAAAACAAGUUUCUGACAUUGAUAACCUGGAGCCAUGUUAGAGUUAUUAAUAAUAUAGCAGUAAAAAGCUCUCGCCUCGCAGGUUUUCAUAGAUUUUCGUCUGGACCCUGGUCCUGACUCCUGCCAUGGCCCCACUGAUACCUACCGCUUUUAACACCACUAUUAUUUCCAUCACUAUUACUGUCAACAUUAAUGCGCAUCACUAACUUUGUUUCUUCCACAGAGCAUUUGUGCUUUUUCACCUCACAGGUCUCCAUGGAUCAUGGUUCUAUUUGGAUCCUGUUCCUGCCUCCUUCCGUGGCCCCGCUGACAACUGCUGCUAUCAUCAUUUUUAUUAUUUUAAAUAUUAAUCACAUUACUAUUACUGUCAUCAUAAACCAACAUUAUCCGCUUUGCUUCUUUGCUGAAGUCAUUGUGCCUCCCCACAGGUUUCUGUGUAAGGUGGUUCUAUCUGAUGGUGGUUGUCCCUGCAGUGAUCCUGCCGUACACCUGGCUUACAAUUCGCAAUAUUUGAAUCAUUUCCGUCAUAGGAAUUGAAUAUAUUGUACAUCUUUUGCAUUGUUCAUUCUGUACACAUGACAUCUAUUGUAGUCUGUCCAUCCCUGGAGAGGGUUCCCUCCUCUGACGUUCUCCCUAACGUUUCUUCCCUUUUUUACCCUUGAAAUGGUUUUUCAUUUUUUGGGAGUUUUUCCUGUGCCGAUGUGAGGGUUUCCGGACAGAGGAUGUUGCACGUGUACAGACUGUAAACCCCCUGAGGGAAAUUUGUAAUUUGUAGUUUUGGGCUAUACGAAAUAAAAUGAAUUGAAUUGAAAAAUGCAAAAGACAACGUCAAAUAGAACAAUAAAAAAAGUUUUACACUUUUAAACGAAAAUAAUGCAUAACAUUUGAAGGCCUUUCUUUGCCUUUAUAAAUCAACACAUUGGUGCAAUUUAAAUUCAUAGGAACAGGAUCAAGUAUAGCGGUUCAUACAAGAUAUCUUGAGUUCUUACAGAUGUGGAAUGUCAUAGCCUAUUACAUUCAUGUUCAAUGAGGUGCUAACAUCAUGUUGUAUACCUGAAGUUCAACCAAAAAGCCUUCUAUCAAACUGGCAGCCACCGAUGAGCAAUCAAGCUGCCUGUUAGUGAAGUUAUUAAAAUCAUCCAGCUAGUCCCUACAUAAAAUUCCAUGUCAGAAGAAUUUAGAUCUGUGGCCAUCAUUGGAGAGAGGUUCCUGUGGUGCGUGUUGCUCAUCUGUGUGAUUGAUGAUAGGGCCUUGCUCUCUGCGGUCUAUGACAGGGCCUCAGUGGACUUGGCCCAUAGCAACUACUCAAGUGUGACAAGCUGGCAGACACCGGCCAAGGUGAGAGCAGGACAGAUGGGAAGCCUCUCUCCAGAGUAUCUGCCACAAGGCAGAACCAAACAAACUGCUUAAAGAUUCACUUUAGAUUGCCCUCCCUUACAAUCUUGCCGGCGUGGCCGUCUUCCGGCUCCUCCAACAGGUCUUUUUCAUUUAAGUUGUGGCCCUGGUGUUCCCGUCCCGCUCCCUUGCCACACUGAGCCCCGGGUCUUCAAGGUUAAUCAGUCCGGUUGGUUGUAUAUGCCAGGAUGCGGCUGUAAUCUCACAGACUUGUUUAUAUAUCACACGGAGAACAUUAGGGAAAGCAGGAGCACGGCCUCUCUCAAUAACCCACAACGGCACACUGAUAAUGCCUUUGGACAGGGAACGUUCCCCUUUGAUUUGCUGUCAAAUUUUACAACAAUUGGAGAGAGGUGCGGGUGGAUCUCAUGUGAGUCACCCUAGGGGACGACAAAGCUCACACCACCACUCAACCAAGCCCGGCUCUUCCUCUUCACGGCUGAAUGGCAUCCUAAACAUGGCUGUGCUGACCUUGCGAGCAGCCAUUAAACACCUGGAGGAAUUAUCCGCAUCUAAUUACAUCUGCCACUGCCAGCCCUUCAGUGAAAACAGAACUGUUCCCCAUGGUAAUGUUUGAUAAAAAGUGGCCGAUGUCAAGUUUAAGUUCAUUUUGAUGAUUAGAUAUUGCACAACAUAAUAAUCUUAGUAUGUUGGGAGACAUGACAAUUACAUUGGCAUGUAGGCUGUUUAUCUGAUAUAAUAAUAUAACGUAAAAUUCAGUCAUAUUCAACAAAACACUCAAAUAACACUUUUUGCUGAUAAUAUUUUUUAUUUCAGGAUAGAUGUAAAUCACCCAUAACAACUAUCCGAGUAUUACCUUAAUAUAUUCCUUUGUCUCACUCUCAAGUCAAUAUCUCUAAAUUGGGACACAAUUAUGAGAGGUAAGGAAUUUUUCUUUCUUGAUAUCUAGUGGGAUUAAAAUAAUAGCUGAAAUUGAAUAGCAAGGAUCUUAUCUUUUACAGAUGGGCAAUGAUAUUUAUAUUCACCAAAACAUGAAAAAAAUCUCUUUCCAAAAUUGAUUUGCAUCUAACACUCAAUAGUUGUCUCCUUGAUUACACAAAGCCGAAGACCGUGUUCAUCUGAAAAACUGCAGUGGGUCCGACUGUGGUGAAGCAAUUCCUAACAGACCUCAUGGUUGAGUGAAUGAAAGGCGUCAGUAAUAGCACUUCAUCGUAGAUAGACAGGAUGCUGUGUAGCGUGAGGUGGGUUGGACGGGGUGGUGGGAUUUUUAUAUAAUUGAAAAGCUCAACCAUGACUUCUCAGAGCAAUUACUGUACUGUCAUUGUUGGAAAUUAAGUGUCAAAAUCCGAGAAAUUACAACGGAACCGGACAGGAAUGAGAGUACCUUCUAUUGUUAACAAAUAAAUUGACCGAGGCCUUAUGCAUCCCUCUGCACAGUCAUAACAAAUGUCCAAAUAAUAAGAAUGAGAACGUUACAUAGGCAAGAUUGCAGAGAAUAUCAAAAUCGAGGCGUUUUUUAAUUUAAUUUCACUCUCUGGAAUUGAAAUAGGGUCGUAAAACCACCCUGUUUGCCUUUACCACCAAAAAGUAAUGUUAAACUAAAUCACGUUUUAGUAAUUAAAUGUUUACUGUCAUUUAAAUGAUAAAUUAAUCCAGAUUGCCAUUAUAAUUAUUUUAAAUCAAUUACAUUUCGAUUUAGGGAGAGCAAGUAAUUCGGAAGGUUGGCUAUUUCAUCCUAUAGGGACUGACAAUAUUUGUUAAAGUUAACCUAUAGGCUUUGUUAGUUUCCGUACAAAUACCUAGUUGCCUAAAUCAAAUAAUUUCUAUUUUAUUCCUUGCACCAGCAGCUCUCUGACUUCCCCUCAUUGCCCCGCUACCCGACUGUUACUCCCAUAACGGUGUCUUUGUGUUGUUUAUUCUUUGAAGGCAGCUGAAACCUGGCUAUCUUGACCGAAUGUUUUGUUUUUAUGCCUCCUGCUGGUAACGGCAACCCAUAUGGCAAAACUGGAGAAACGUGUUAUCUGUGGAUUGUGACACUGAAUUUCUCCGUAAAUCAGAAUGGCUCAUGUGAUUUGGAGUGAUUCACCCUCUAAGGAGUCUACCAAAGGGGAAAUGACCAAUUCACUUGCAAUUUGUUACCGACGCAUUGAUGUAAAACAGUAUUUUCCCUGAAGUAAGGUCUUCAUCAUACCACCGUCUCCUCAGAGAGAGUAUUAGUAAUAAUGAUGGAUGAGGAGCAGAACUUUGAUUAUGUCUUCUAUUAGGCCACACAUAAAAACAUGUUUUGUUUUUCAUUAUUGUAUCAAGAUGUGAUUAUUAAAAGGGCAGUGCACAUCCCUUUGCUUUAAGUGGACUAGAUGCACAUGGACCGGCUUCUGGUUGUUGUCAACUUGUUGUUUACUUUCUUCUUUGAUAGGGCUUGGAAGAAAAUACAAGCUUCUCAACUUGUGUGGAUGCAAACAGUUCACUGCUUGACACAAGCAAAGCCCUGUGGAGCUUCCUGCCAGUUCUACCACUUCUCCGCAUCUCAGCUGGACAAGCACUCCGAUCCUUAAGUUGGCCCAACCGUCAUCUAACUUGUACUGUGCUGUCAAGAAAACCUUAUUAUUUCCUAAAUCUUGUUUAGAUCUUAAUCAGUGUGCAGCUGUUGCCAGCUUGAUGCUUGAAACAAAAUGUUCUUGUCCUGAAUUACAUGAACAAUAAGGUUGACUUCUAAUCAAAGCUUUACCACCAGGAAUAAUUAUAUUUCAAACACAAUUAUGGACAUCUUGCGAAAUGCAUUGCAAUUGAAAAAUAAAAAACUUAUAAUCUUGCCCUUUAUUUAAAUUGUCACAAUACCUUGUGUUGAUGGCAACCCUAACAAAAAUUACCUUAUGUAAAAACUGGGCUGCAAUGUGAGAAUAUUGCGCAUUACAUGUUUCUAAAAAAAUCCCAGAGCCUUAGGUUGCCUAUAAGAAGAGUUCUAAAGUAUAGCUACUGGAGUCAAGCAUGUGUUUGUGGGUGAUGGCUUCCAGGUGUCACGAAGGCUGAAUGGACCAGUGCCUUUGUGCAAUGACAUGGUGGCCAUUUCAUGGCACUCCCCAAUGGUCAAUGACUCUCUUCUUCAUCAUUGUUCCACGCCAUUGUGCAGCUUUUUAUGGGCCCAGCUGCCACCUGUCCUCCAUACAGUGUUACCCACAAUGUGAAUGACGCUUUUACUCUGUUAGAGCAACAAAUGACAAGUUUCUGACAAGCUAUUUGAAAUGCGCAACAACUUUUAAAACAAGCCUCUUUCACACGUAAAUCUCACUAAGUUACCAGGACUACCUUUCAAGCAUUUUAACCAUGAAGGCAUGCACUUCAUUCAGGAACUUUUCCCACUUGCUAUGGCAAUGCCUGAGUAGUUGAGACAAGGGAUGGUCCAUCAGGGUGGAAGAUGUCUGUUAUUAUUUUCAGACAUCUUAUAAUAGAUUUUCUCCCUUCACCUCUAAGUGUCUUUCUUCAGAUGGUCGUAACCCUUUUCCUGCUUGUCCCUGCGUUGCUCUUCUUACAAACGUACUGUGGUAGCCGAAUGAAUAUCAAUCUCUGCUCUCAUUCACACAUGGCCCAUUGCAUGAGAAGUUCCCUAAUUUCAGGGACUGUAUCUGUGAAAGAGCCUAUCUGGUUUUGUAUGACAAUAGUAUAUAUAUUAUUUGGCCAAUCUGUUGAAGCAGAUUGACUCUGAAAAUAGGCAGUUUUUUACUUCUUGAGGAGCAAUUAGUUUGCUAUUAAUUUGAUCCAGAACCAGCCGCUCUCCUCAACACCCUCCUUGGGUGGAAGCACAUAGUGCCUUCAUAUUAACUGCUGAGUCAGACAUUUACAGAAAAUACAUUUGUAUAAAUCGCUAAUUGACACAUUGUUUUUUGCAGAAUAUAGCACCCACACUGUGAAUAACCACUUAUCUGUGCAGCACUGAACGAUCAAAGUUUAGAUAUUGUAUUCAUUUCUAAAAUUCUAAAUAGGUUGUAUUGCUAGCCCAAGCCCUCUUGUCACUGAAGUUCCAUCCAAAACCCUGAAAUGCAAAUGGUAGAAGAAAUACAGUGCCUCUGUAUUUGUCUGAACAUAAAUAACACUUUUUAUUUUCCGUAGUGCUGCUUUAAUGCGCUAAUAGCAAUGCGGACGCAGAGACGUUUGUGAAAGUAGUCCCCAGCAAUUAAGGAGUUCCUCAAACUAGCUGGUAUGAAACGUAUAUUUCAUUAUCUCUUUUUUUCCCAACUAGAAGCAUUGUUGAGUCGUUAAGUGGUUUUGUCCUCGAGCGUCAUAGUGAGAUUUGCAGUGUUGAGGAACUGCUAAUUAUGUACUCGUAGAGCACGAUAAAACAUCUCUGAUACUGGAAACCGUGCUGCUUCAAUAGUCCACCAGCAGUGCAAAAUGCCUACCUCUUCAUAUACUUCAUAUCCUAUGAGAGUGUUCUUACUACAACCCAGCUACAUCUACACCCUCUCACUUUUUGCUUAUGUCAGCAAGUGAUUAUCUUGCACUCAUUAUAGCAUUUGUUCCAUUCAGCAGCCAAUUAGAACCGCCCCACCUGCUGCCAUGACUCUUUAAAGUGGAAGCUCCACUCCAGUUUUUUACCUUAUCCGAUCAGGCUUUUUGCAUUGUUGGCAUGUCUCAUGGGCACAUUCGAAAUUGCAGGCCAUUUAUCAAAUGUUUAAAGUGAAGAACUUUCAAAUAGUAAUGAUCGAGUCUCAGUUUAAUACGUAUGCCUUCAUAUGACCCAAAAAAGUAAACAAGACCAUCAGCAAGAGGAUCACCUAUUUCUAUGAAGCUAUUCUUAACGCUUGUCAGCGGUGCCACCAGGCCAGAUUCUGCAGGUAAUCAGAGGCAUUCGUGCAGGCUCCCCAAAGUCCUCCUGCUUAUGCCCCAGAGGGGCUUCCAGCAGCAACCAGCCCCAAGCGGACAGACCUUUAUCCGCCUUUGAUCUGCAGCACUGGUGUACGGAGGAGAGCUCCGGCUCACAUAAGCCAACCAGCUAAUAUACAGUAUGUGGCAUGUGCAACACAUCAAUUGCCAACGAUUCCCUUUUACAAAUAUACAACAGUGUCUUCAUUUCUCCUUAUCCCGGAAGGCCUGCUAAUAAAUGUAUCUUCUAUUACUAUCAUACUCGUAUCAUACUCAUAUGAUAGUAGUAGUCUGCAACAGUCGACUCAGAAUUGGGGAUUGUUGAGUUAACGUAUUUACCAUUUCUUUUUAAUUUCCUAUGGCCCCUGGUACGUGUUACUAAACAGCAUUUAAUAUUAAUCGCAGCAUUGGCUCAAGUAUUAGGGUUUUUGUAAAUCAUAUGAAAUCUCUUUGUCUCAUCAAGAACAUACACAGUUAGUGUGCAGUCAAAAACAAAUAGAAGCUGUAAUAACAAUGAGACUUGUGAAUGGCUCUGAUAUUCAGUUAGAGGAAGAAUUUUAUGCCAUAUGCAACAGUGAAGCUGAUGUUCUGUCCAGAUCUCAGCGGGCCUGUUAGCUUGUUUAGAUGACUGGUCCAGUGAAAUGACCCAAAUUAGGUUGUUAGAAGAAUAGCUUUUAUCUGCCAAAGUGCCCCCAAUAGAGAACCAUGAGAGAGUGCACAGCUUUCAAUCAGAUCAGUAGAAUGUUUUCCAAUAUUUCAUCUUGUUUGUUGGACCAAUUGCUCAAUCAGGGCUUUAAUCCACAGCUAUUUGACCAUGACAUCAGUGCAGGCAAAUAUGGCAUUAAAAAUAAAAAUAUCUCUAUCAUCCAAAGCCCCACGUCGUAUUAAAUGAUUAACAGUUUCUAUGAUGCAAGAAAAGUUGUAAAAUUAUUUUUUAUUGAAAAUAUCAACAAACGUAUAAUCCAUUUCCCACUAAAGUAAGUGUUCUAUUCGAAGCUCAGUUAAGUUCAACUCAUAAGCUCUGCCUUUGGAAGGACAGUCAAGACAUGAAUAAUAAAUUAUGAUGUCCAUAUACGGAAACAAGAAAACAUCAAACUCAAGCACAUGAUUUGCUUUGAAUGUGCCAAAUACAUCGCAAUGAAAUUAGGACUGUAAUUUGAAGUAUCCAGGACCGUGUACUGUAUGGUUUACAUGGUUUGGCAAAGAAAUACUCCUAAAAUGCUGACAUCAGCAGCAAAGCACCCCUAAGAGAGCCAUCGAGCAGAAAAUGAUAAUUAAUUAAUCAUGGAGUGCGAGCCAAACACCGUCUAUUAGCCCUUUGGUAUUUCCUUCCCCUCGGCCUCCACACUUACCAUAGAGAUAAUGCCUCCCCAAUAAGACUUGUUUACUCAGCUGCACUUUGGUCAUCGCACUGACAGCCGGUUGGAAAAUGUCUCCAACUAUGGGGCGCCGUUUGUAAAAUGUCGCACGUUCUAAAAUCCUGCGCAGUUUUGCUACAUUUAGCAUUAUCAUAUGAACAAAAAAGCACGACAAUAUUCAUAUGUCACUUUUUCAAACAUUUAGAGAGAAAUUCAUGUAAAUACAUGCAAUAACCUUUCCAUGGAUAAUGUUUGGCAGUAACACAAAGAUGUUAAAUAAUACAAAUGUUAAAUGUUAUAUCCAAAUGUUAAAUGUAAAUGUUAAGUUAUAUCUAAAUGUAAAUGUUAUAUCUAAAUGUGAAAUGUAAAUCUAAAUGUUAAAUGUAAAUCUAAAUGUAAAUGUUAAAUGUUAUAUCUAAAUGUUAAAUGUAGAGCUAAAUGUUCACUCUACAUAUCAGGCUUGACGACUGAACAUUACAAUAUUUAGGGGCGUUGCGCAACCCCCCCUUGAUGGUCCGGUCAAGGGCGAUGUUCCGCGCCCGUGAACCCCGCCGCAUGACUUCAACGUGGACAGUAUGUGGCCCCCUACCUAAAAUGAGUUUGACACCCCUCUUCUAUAACAAGAGCUAAUUCAUCCGGACUUGCCAGCUUGUCUUGCCGCGGCGUGAAUUACCGUAAAUAUUGUAAUGUUCAGUCGUCAAGCCUGAUAUGUAGUGAGUGAACAUUUAGCUCUACAUUAAACAUUUACAUUUAACAUUUACAGAUAUACAUUUAACAUUUACAUUUAGAUAUAACAUUUACAUAUAGAUUUAACAUUUAGAUAUAACAUUUAGAUUUACAUUUAAAAUUGAUAUUAUUUAACAACUUUGUGUUCCUGUUAAGUUAUUGCAUGAAUUUAAUGGGAAAUUUGAUUUAGGGUAGAUCAAAUAAAAAUAAAAUAGGCGCAAAAAGGGGAGUCCAAUUCAAAUCACCGUAGUAGGAUGGUCAGCGAAUUGCUCCCAGUACAUAACGGACCAUUUGAUUUGCCUCAUUUUCUCUUACCAUUUUCUGAAUGAGCCCAACAGUUUGCUGGUGGCCAGUCGCAGCGCCGGGUUCCUACGCUCACUGAUAUUACAUUUCUGGAGAAGGACAAAUUAGUACCCUCGUAGAUAGUCAUUCGUCUGCAGAACUGUGCACACUGUAUCCCCAGCCAGCUGUGGCAACACGUUAGGGCCCCUCUUACGUGGCUCUCAACAUGACAAUCGACAUUUUUCUCUUCUACUUCUAAUCGAUUUCGAUGGAUCAGAUGGAGCUGAUGGAGCCGAUGAAUCAUUUAUAUCUUUUAAAGUCCUUGGUGUGUUGUAUAUUCCAUUCCAUCCAAUAUCUUGCAAUACCAAAUCUUCAUAGAUUUAUGUGAACUUGUGGUUUUCAUAUGUUGGCUGGUGAUGUAUUGCUCUUCAUUUAACGGCAUACUACUUCAUGACUUGGUUUACAUAUCACUAGUUGGUGUCAUGCUUUCAGUGCUUCAACGAAUUCCAAGAACAUUAGAAGAUCAAAGUUUCAACAGUCGCAAGCCUUUAUUCAUCACUCCAACGUUUGAAAAGAGAUAAGUAUUGACUUUAAUUUCACAAUGAUUAAUGGUAACAGUUAAUUAUUCGAAUUAAUCACUCUAAUUAACAACUUAAUAUAAAGUGUAACUGGAGAGCUCAGACAAUUAAAAUGAAAACUUCCUCUUUAAAGAUGCAUAUGUGCCGGAAUUUGUGUUUUCUUCUCAUUAGAACAUUUUGAUGUACUGUGAUUAGAAUGAUCCUCCAGGCAGAAGAGUCAUCGCCAAAUACACAGUCGAAGUAAAGAUCCAUAAAUUGAUUUCUAACUAUGUGAAAUUUACUGUCCGGCAGGAGCAGGGUGGCAGUGCACACCGACUACUACCAAUAGGUUGAUUUUGUAAGCGCAAGCGUGCCCGUGCAAUUACAUAGCAAGCCCACAAAUUAGUCACUGAAUCCGACUUGAAUCAAAAGGGAAUGCAUCAAAUGCUAUCUCUCCCCAUCCAGACGGAUGUCUACACAGUAAAACGAACUGCAAUACUGUAGUUGCGAGUGUGAUAACAGAUAACCGGCAGCCCCCCAAGGUGAGAGGAAGAUAAUUCUUCUGGGGUGGGAGGCAACUGAACUUCUGUGAUUCCGUAAGCGAUUUUUCUCCCCGACGUACCCUGUAGGUAUCACAACGUGAAGCUGGAUUCUGACACCAUACAGAUUUACGUUUUCAGGCCGUAUUUGCCAUACAUGUGUAGUAUGUUGUUACCCUUUGAGCAGACCGAGAGAGACUGUGUUUGGGUCCAAAGGCUGGGCCGUGUGAUUCAUUUUGAUUCAUGCAGAGGCACAGGAUGUGCUAAAGUCCAAAUAAGAAAGAGCCUCAAACCGCCUUUUCAAAAGUGUUAACAGGGGAGGUUUUUCUCUGGACACAACAGCCUGUGGUCUCCGCUGAUCACUCAGGUGCAGAGCCUGUAUCUAAGAAUUCUUACAUAAAUACAUGUCCCUAUGAAACCGGCAGUGUGUAGAGCCGGCAUGCUGUAACAUCCAUUGUUCCCCCAAAAUGAUAAUCGGUAUACGAUAUAUAAAUAGUUUUAAGAAGUUACACGACUUCCCUCACAGUUAAAUGUGGAUGUGCAUUUUUUUUCAUGCAACUGAUGACUUUUUAAAAAUGUUUUUAAUAUCUGAAAGACAUUAUCUUUAUUACUGCAAAGACAGCAGAGCUCCAUGUGCUUUUAGGCUCACUGUCCCAUGGGGCCUGUGAAAAUUUCCAUUUAGCUACAAACCAUUUUACCCAUGCAGGUCUGCAUAUAUGGGUAUUUUAUAGGCCUGCGGUCUGGCAAGGACAGAGGAAUUAGCCUGAUCCACAUUCAUUAACCUCAUUUUCAUUCUCCAGAGCAACAGUGCUGUAGAAUUAUCUGUCACCACAGCACAAAAAUGAUGAAUUGGUAAUCAGUUGAGAGCUGUCAAGAAAGCCCCAGGAAUGCAAAAUACACACACUUGUUUGCCCUUGCAUUAACCGUUUGUAAUCAAAUCACUAUUUAUCGUUGGUUCAGUAAGACAUAUUUUAUGCCCCAGUGUUGUCAUGUAUGGGCUGGUAGACAACAGACGCUGUCUUUAUUAGAGGUGGGAGGGUCUACUUCAAAUCACUAGAUAGCCUACCCCCCCCCCCCUAAAGCUUAUGAUGUUGGUUGGCUGGGAUUUAUUUUUAAUCAUCCUCUUAAAUUAUUCACCAUUUCCUAAUGAAAGUGGAUUUCGCACAACAACGUAUCAAUAUUUGUAGUUGCUGUGAAAAAUUACAAAUAGUCCCGUAGGUAAGAAAAUUAUAUUUGAUAUUGUACCUCCUAAUGGUCCCUCUGGUUAAGAAUGCAAACGUGAUAAGCGAAAACUAUUAUCUGUGUCUAGAUGUGCAUCCUCAAAAACAAUUAAAAGACUGUCAGACAUCAGGGUCAGACCCCAGCUGGGGUUUAGUGUCCAACCUGACCACCACGUGCCAGAGAAUCCCCAUCCAAUCGAUACUCUGACAGCUGAACUCCACACUGUAUCCUAAUUAGGUGGUCAGUGUGAAUUUCUCUCGCUAACCUAAUUAUGUUUUAAAGUUCAGACACAGUGAGUGGUUGGAUGGAAAGUCAGCCGAUGGGUCGUCUACCAACCUGUUAAUGGCACAUGUUUUAAAAGUUAAUGAGAGCUGGAGUUAAAAGCAGCAUUAGCUAAAGGCUAGGUGGAGUUGAGCUAUGUGGAUUAACUUUUCAUUACCGUCUCAUUAGGUGGGCCUGGGGAUUAGAGAGACUCCUGUAUUAAAUGUACCAUGAAAAUACUCAAAUGGGCCUGAAUAAAGACAGUUUGGAAGUAGGUGGAGUGGAGGAGGUAAAGUAAGUUAUUGACUUUUUAGCCUCUUCCUCUUACCGCCGAGAAUCCCUCCACAGUUAAAUUGACAUCGUUUGCUCUCUAUUAGCCAAUAAGAAGGCUUGUAGGAGCGAGCAAGCCGACCUGCGGAGGAAGUGACUUUGAAAUCUAGAUUGGGUCAUUAAAAGUGGAAUAAGAAGGCCAUUAUAAUUCCAACACUGAAGUUACCAUUUAUUUGCAUUGUGAAGUCCCUGGUGUAGUAGUUAAAUGUCACUUGCCAACUUUAAUGAGAAUAAAGUUAGGGAGUGUGGCCAGAGCUGAUUAGAGUGUUCCCUACAGCAGCUCCUUGUCCAAUGCUGUGUCCAAAGGAAUCAUCAACACUUCACACUGAAAGACUAGUGGACAAUCAGGUUCAGGCCUCCCCCACCAACUACACCCAUCACUCCAACUUAAUUACCCUUAAUGAGAGAAUAGAAGGCCACUGAUCUUCACACCCGCUGUAAGUGAUUUGUAAUGUGGUGUGCCAAUGAGACACGCCAUUAAAAGCAACGCGUGAGCAUCUGUCUGUGUGUGGUGUGCACGCUCUUUCCUCAUGUAUUUCGAACCUUUAUUUGAAAUUAGGUUGCAGGGUAAAAUUCAAAGUGAUGUCAUUAUUUUACCAACUUUCAUUAAAGAGUCACACUGUAGCGUUUUUAUUGGAACUGCUGAUUGACAGGGAAGAACCCUCCGUUGGGAGUUCUUCUUCUGUACAUUUGGUUCUGAAGAAAAAAAGUCAGAUUGGGUCCAUAACGUGCUUCAUCAGGUUGGGUCUCGUUUUACUACCAACAGCUUCAAGUCUGUAAAAGAUAUGUCAUCAGAUCGGAUUACAUUUUAUUAAAAAUGAUCACCUUCUGUUGCCCAGUUGGCUACUGAAUGUCUACUACUGGUGCAGAAAGUGAAAAUAGAAUUUAUUUACCUUAAUUAAUGGUGUUUGAAUCCUGAAAACAUUAUUGUUGGACAUAGUUUCUAGCUUAAUUUCACAUGUGUUUUUAUAAAUAAUUGAUAUAACAUCAUACUGCUGCCUGCUUUGAUGGUGUGUCUCUAUUCAGGUCUUUCCAGGUCAACCGCAUAUUGGAUCGGGUCUAAUCAGGGAAGGCCUGGCCAUCUGUCAGUCCAUGCACUUUCAGGAUGGACUGAUGUGCCUUUUGGGUGGACACAAUUGUCUGUAUUCAUUCAAAAUUUUCAUCUCACCUGCCCAUAAAACAACGUAGAUCGUUUUUUUUUCCUUCUAAAUUGACUUGAGGUGGGCGCAAUCACAGCCAUUGACCCCUCCCCGUUGCCUCUGCCUAUCAGUACAGCACAUCUGCCAGCUCUACAUACGUGCACGUAAAGAACGCUGAGAACCAGAAGACAAUAGAGAGCAGAUAUUAACGUUAACACUGACUGCCAAACAGCCGACUAGGUUACUCAUUUAGUCUCAGCUGGUUAUUUUGCUGCAGCUAAUUCAUGUUAAUUAAAACCUUUCUUGAUUUGCAAGUUACGAUACGCUACGCAUGUACGUUUUAUGAGCACAAGCCUCUUCUCGAAAACAAUGAGAGCAUGAUAUCACAUUUCUCCGUAUCAGUCCCACCCCAAAAUCCAUAAAUGUGUGUGUGUGUGUGUGUGUAUGUGUGUGUGUGUGCGCUCAGCUGAGAGCUUGUGUCCCGCCAACUAGAGAGCGGAGAGUGUCUUUUUCAGCGUUUGACAAGUAUUAGCAAACUCACUGAUGACUGGGGACGUCCUCAUUAGAAUCCGGGUUUUACGGGAAACGCCGUUGGCAGCAACUCGACGACGACGGCAGGGUAGGCAUUAAAAAGUCCACUGAAACGUUGCAUUUUCCAUUUACACCACAAGUAAACAAACAGAUGUUUGAUGAAACGAUAAUUCAAUUUAUUUUGACUACCGGGCAAACUCAUUAAAAUAUGCAAUAGUUAAGAUCAGUGUAACUGUGCCAGAGGAUCGAAUCGGUUAAGCCAAGCUCAAGACUCCUUUGGACUGCUUCCCUCUUUUGAGAAAAAUAACACAAAUGUGUCUUUGUCAGAUGUGUCCAGUUUGCUCAACAUAUCAUAAGAUACACAAAUAACAUGAACCUAAGAAUGCUGGAGAGCAAGAAAGGAGCUAAGACAAUCUGUGUGUGCUGAAUUUGUAUCAAACACAGAAACGGGAUGACGCUGAUUAUGUCAUGGAAAAUAGGUAAAUAUUAAAGUACUGUUGGAGUAAUUCUUAAUGCAAAAUCACCAGAUGAUUAAUUGUUUUUUAAUUAAAGAUGGCAAUAAUCAUUACACCAAUACAUGUUGAUAUUUCCGUCUUUUAGUAUUUUCAGAAGUAUGAAACCAAUAGUAAUUCAACAUUUACGGUAAGACUGAUGAAUAACAUUACAUUUUUAAAGCUUCUUGUUUAAGAAACAGAUGCAACAAGAUAAGAACAAUCAACACUUCAAACUACAUAUUAAAAAGAGUUGUGUUCAACGACAGCGCAGUUCCAGGUUUGAUCCCUUGGUGAUUUCUUUUGCAUUCCUGUGACCUGUCACACGAAAAACAGGAAUAAAAUGUGUGAUAACAACCCUGAGAGGUGUGAAUAUAAUCUGAAUUAAUGAGGCCAUACGAGGAAUAGUCUAGAGUGACAAUGGUUGUAUUCACAUCCUUCGAACAAUUAAAGCAACUCAUUUUGACAUUUGCCUCACGGUUGUGAGAUUAACGUUUAGCGACACCAAGGCUGGCCUCCAUGAUUGUGUCUAUGAUCAAGGGAUUUUACUAAUUUAUUUCUGCUCAUAAACUAAUUUUGGUAUCGACUGAAAAGAGGGGGAAAUGUGACAGGAAGAGCAUUUACUUCACUCAUUAUACCGUUGUGUUCAUUAUGUCAUUAUCCUUGAUACUUAUCUUAUUCGGAAUAAUUAGAUGUUAAGCCUGGUGAGGGAGGCAUGACACCUUCACCUUCGAGAAAGGUUGCCUUCCAUUUAACGGCGUAAUCCUUCCUUUUGCAAAUAGAAGUCGAUUUUUGAAGAUGCUGCUAAGAUGCUGGGCCCUAAAGUCCCCUUACCACUUGCUCAUUGGGGUAGCGCACACUCACUUUGACACAAUCUCAAUGGCAGAUUUCCCUCACUGGCCCAAUUACGGAAAAGCUCCUAGGUAGUCACAUCUAUGUGUUUCCUUCCUGAAGUCAAAUUAAAUGAUCACUCAUGGAACAGAACAAAAUCAGCCCAUUUUUGUGAAACCGCCAAUAAGAAAAUAAUAGUGUACCAUCGCAUUUUGUGAGAGAUAACAAGAGAGCAUAACAGAGGUUGAUUCGUAGUGGGGCAUAUAUUUUCCUACUGUAUUUCUAGAUUCCUGAAAUGUGUGUGUGAUCGAUGGGUGACUGAUACAAAAGCUCCAAAGCUUGGGUGGUUAAUAUUCCAAACUGUGAAUGCCAAUUAUCGAUCUGUAUGCAUGUGGGUAUAUUUAUCAUGCAUUGUAAACCCCUGGGUAAUUAAAUGCAAGUGCUAUGCUUAUGAUAACCAUCAUCAGUGUUUUUUGCAGAGCGGUCAAUCAUUCUAUUAGAGGCCCUUGCAGGAGCUCUGUAUGCUACAAGGCCAGUGGCAAUGCACCGCCUCGGGCUAGCAGGACUAAUUAGAAGGAUGCCCAGUGGAAUUCUAUCACCACCGUGUCCAACCCACCUGGCCCGGUUGGGCUUGUCGUCCCUAUUUUCAUCGUAAUUUCAACAUGCUGUAGGUCUCUUUCUUUUAAUUCCCCUACCUCCCUCUCCAGGGCCAUCCAUCACAUUUGCUUAAUAUGUAGCAUGGAAAUAUGCCACCAUACAAUUCAAUAGGCAGCACUGGAAGGGAAAAUUGUGAAUUGAUGUGAUAUUCUCUGCUAUUAGAAAUGUAUUUUAGGAUAUCUCGCAAAAGAGAGGCCUCUCCAAAUAUUACAUUCACUCCAGAGUAGACAGGUUGAAAGAAAUGCCAAUUGAUCUGUAUAUAACUACAAGUUAUUGAUUGUUUUCACAAUCAAUUAAUGUUUUUUCUUUUCUUUUUCGCUUCAUCAGAGGAUCAUUCAGUCAUUUGCAAUGCUCUUCUUUUUUUGUUGAAGUCUUCAGGUAGUUGGUUUCGAUUGGAAAACUAACCCGGAAAACCUUUUAUGUAGUCUUCAAGACCACAGCUAAAAAUCAAAAUAGUAGAGACUUUAGCCUCUUUGUGACUUCCAUGCAGUUAGCUGCCAUAUCAAAAACUAACCAUUUAGAUUCUAGUUUAAAUGUUUUGUGCCCCAUCUCAAAUAUAUUAUGAGAUGAUCCAAACCAACAUAGGCUGUAAGACAUCUAAUCAAAUGCGAACCUCCAGGCCAAAGGUUUUUAUAUUAAGUCAGUCAAAUUCAAUAAAUAAUAAAAUUAAGGGAUUGCAGAUUUUUCAUUACCCCAAUAUUCAGAAUCUUUAGUCACUGAUAUGAUAUAUUUAAUGUUGAUAUUCUAAAUUCUAAUAUGGAAUUAAUUCCGGUAAUAUAUUUUGAUACAGCGGUCCGAUAUUUAAUACAUUCUGAAAUAAUGCCCAACUUUUCUAAUCAUCAAGAAAUCACUGUAUUCUACACCUCAAAAAUGAUAUCAUGUUAUUGCUGCAUUGAAUGCUUACGCCUCCCAUUUGUUCAAGCCAAUGCUAACACAAUACUCACUUUUGAUACAAUAGACCUGCAGAUAUAAAAACAGACUCAAAAACGUAGAAGCAGACAUAAAUAAAGACACAUAGACCAUAUCAGAGAGAACACAGAAUGUGAGAAGAAAAAGGGAAGGAUGUGAAAUGCUGGAUUUAGACUGUGUGACAUGAGUUGUUUCUGUCAGUGUCAGGACUACAGACAUCCUCUGGGGUUUGUGAAGUGUUCCUACACACUGCCAAAGAUGGAUAAUUGGUUAUUUUAAGUAAUUUUAUGAACAAAGCUCAGCUGCUGCAGCUCAACCUCAAGUAAACAACACACCUUGGGAAUAGCCUCUGUUCAUCCGUCUCGUGUCUGUAGAUUCAUGUCCUGAUGCAUGUUUUUGUCUGCCAGAUUGAAAGUUUAACCAUGCUCAGAUGGAGCUAUUUCGAUUCAGUCUGAUCUAUACGUACAUACGUGCCAGUAAAUAUGUAGAUAAUUACCUCAACAAAUAACUACAAUACACUAAAAUGGGUAGCAAUAUUCGUAUUAUGGUUAAGGUAUGUCCAUGAGCUAAGCACCAACAACUCUACAUAUUGAAAAAGUCUCACUGUACACAUUCAGUAAGUAACUUUUGUGUUUAGAAUGAUCAACAUUAAUAUUGAAUUCAAUAUUUGCCUAAAAACUGCUUCACAUUUGAUGUUAAUGUUACGCACGGUUGCCAUUUGAAAGUUAUCGCAGUCUGCUGAGAGACUCUCGUUUUCAAAAUGUUGGCUAUUAAGGGGAACAAUAUUAACUACAUAAUAAAAAAAAACACGAUACACAAAUCAACACGCUGCUGCAAAUGUAAAAACACAAAAGCAGUUCACUUACCAAAUGUUGUUUCCUAUUUACAGACAAAGCUCAAUCUGAAAUCUCAGUAAAAACUAAGAUCUGUCAGCUAUCUUUCUGUUUGACAAAACUCUGGCCCGGCGAUCAGGUUGCACCUCAGUACCACGGUGUACGUUAUUGCAGAUGUACUCAUAAGCCUCUCCUACAUAGACACAGAAUAAAAUGAUUACACUGCUUAAAAACUUACUAGCCCUUGCAUAAAAUAGCACCACACGACAUGCAUAUACUGUGCAACAAAAACAUGUUUGUUUUUUUUAAUUAUUGACCAAUCAAGCGGAUUUAUUAGGUGUAAAAGACAUCUCAAGCUUAGAGGAGCCGGUCGGGAGGAUACACCAAUAAUCUUCACAAAAGGAUUCCCUCUGGUUUCCUCAUACUGUCCCCCACCUCUUAAUGAGAAGCUGAAUUCCGAACGAACAUCUGCUGGCACAGCUGGUUUCAUCAUCUAGAUCUUUGUAUAAUAGUAUACACAUUGGAUCCACGUCUGAAGAGUUGCAUUGUUCUCUGGUAAUGGCCUUGGCAAAGUUUCCCUUCUGUGAAGCCAGUAUUUCAAGUAAUAACUAACUAGCUAACAGUGAUCUCUUUAUUACCUUGAUGAUUAAUGCAUUAAGGAUUAACUGCGUUUAAAUACGUAAAUCAAAAAUAGGCUGUUGAAGCCUGGGCCUUAUUGAAAUUUGUGUAAGCCCAUUCAUGGCUUUUGUUGCUUUGCUAGAUGAGUGUAAAAACUUACUUUAACACAUUUUAGGCACACGUUGAUCCUUUAACUGUUAGUAUUUUACACCCAGCUAAUUACAGUCAUUAUGAAUAUUUUAGAUGUUUAACAGUAUUAGUGUUAACUUUUUAGUGGGAAAUGUCUUGAAUGGAAAUCAAUAUUAUAUCCGUUUUUUGAACUGAGGUAACAACUAUUUCCAAAUCACAAAGGGGUAACUGCAACAUUUAAGCAAUUCUUUUGUCUUACUAAUAUAAUAAAGCAAUAAGGUACGAAAGGCUGUACUUUAUCGUCCUCAAGUCCCUUAUUGCUUUUAUGGUUACCAGCAAAAUUAUAAAUAGUAAGUAAAUAGCUGCCUUUCAGCACAAACUAGUUGUAGCCAGCAAACGUUGUGUAUCGCAUUUCAGUAGUCCAGAGAAAAAAUAGUCCCCGUUCACGUAAACAGAAUCGGGUCCUGCACCAUCUCAUUCAUUCACAUUGCUGAUGACGUCCACCUUAAUUGUUGCAUUGCUUGCAUUGCCUGAAACCGAUCAUUUGUGGGUUUUCCGGGUGUUUUCCGGCAAUCGCCACCGAGCUAAAAGCUAAAAUGUCAACUGACGGUUGAGAAAAAUGUAUCGCUCAAUAAUUUACUCCGUGACUCACUCUCAACCAAUCAGAAGGCUGGAUUUCAUCUACCCGUAUUAUUAUAAAUAUUGUAAUGCAGGUCAGAUGUAUUUAUUUCAAUUACAGUUGCUCUUAUGCAAUUAAAGCACUUGGCGUUGUGUUACACACUAGGUCUAGGUUUCUUGCAGUGUAAAACGUAUGCUAUUGUUGCCAUCAGCGGGUGGACAAUUUGACAAAUAGUAAAACAAUUGCACAGUGAAUAUAACUUACCAGUAAGUUAUUUAAAAGUCCAGCUGGGAUGCAGUACGACUACACCAAAACACUUACUAAUUAGAACUAGGAGAAAAAAAUGUUAUUUUUGUUCAGUUUAGCACAUGAGAAAAAACACAUUAUCCAAGCAUAAUAAACUAAACAAAAAACGUAUACAAACUCACCUAAUUUAAUGUGUCCGAUGUCUGCCUUGUUUCCGUGCGCUGGUCAGUCUGACCAGUAGCCAUCACAUUUUUAUGCUACAAAAAAAACUUGUUUUAACAGUAUAAUGCCAUUUCUAUACAGAGAAAAGGCAUUAUACUGUUAAAAGUGUUACCUAGAGAGGAAGAAGAGAUAGCACACUGCAUCCUGGUGUUCCUUUUUUCCAAUGUUAGGUCCUGUGUGGAAAUAAGCAGAUGGCUACAUAAAGUCCCAAAGUCUGUGUGUAACACAGUCCAGCCCGUUCAAAUAACCCUACUUAGAUUUCACAACGUGAAUAAAGGAUCAUAUCUUACGCGGGACAUUUGAAAUAACAAAAUUACGCGGGACAUUUGAAAUAACAAAAUUAAAUUAACAUAACAUUAGCUAAAUACGACCAUGCUAACUUUGGCUAACUGAACUUUGCUUAUUGAUUAAAUUCAACUGAGGAAUAAAAUGGGGUGUCAUUGGAAAUGAAAUAACUUGCUGGUAAUGUGGUUUAACAGAAAGAUACAGAUGUUAAAUGUUGUCACUCAAGAGUGACGUUAGCUGGAAGCGCCGCGCAUGCUGGAGACAUACUCUAAAUACCAAGUCACGUUAUCGGUAAAAAUCAAUACAACGUAAAUUCAACACAAAAUCACUGAACACGGUAAUGCUGACAUUGAUAAUAUCCACGUUACCUUGUUCAGUAAGCCACAGGGGCAGGAUGGAUGGUUGGUGGAGCAG
ensembl:lncRNA